rnacentral:tRNA from 1 species
GCGUCGCUAGCUCAGCUGGAUAGAGCAUCUGACUUCGGAUCAGAGGGUCGGGGGUUCGAAUCCUCCGCGGCGCGCCA